rnacentral:rRNA from 1 species
UACGGAGGGGGCUAGCGUUGUUCGGAAUUACUGGGCGUAAAGCGCGCGUAGGCGGCUUUGUAAGUUAGAGGUGAAAGCCCGGAGCUCAACUCCGGAACUGCCUUUAAGACUGCAUCGCUAGAAUUGUGGAGAGGUGAGUGGAAUUCCGAGUGUAGAGGUGAAAUUCGUAGAUAUUCGGAAGAACACCAGUGGCGAAGGCGGCUCACUGGCCCGGUACUGACGCUGAGGUGCGAAAGCGUGGGGAGCAAACAGG